GGGGAAAGAUUUAUCGCCGAAGGAUCGGCCCGCGUUGGAUUAGGUAGUUGGUGGGGUAACGGCCUACCAAGCCGACGAUCCAUAGCUGGUUUUAGAGGAUGAUCAGCCACACUGGGACUGAGACACGGCCCAGACUCCUACGGGAGGCAGCAGUGGGGAAUCUUAGACAAUGGGCGCAAGCCUGAUCUAGCCAUGCCGCGUGAGUGAUGAAGGUCUUAGGAUCGUAAAGCUCUUUCGCUGGGGAAGAUAAUGACGGUACCCAGUAAAGAAACCCCGGCUAACUCCGUGCCAGCAGCCGCGGUAAUACGGAGGGGGUUAGCGUUGUUCGGAAUUACUGGGCGUAAAGCGCGCGUAGGCGGACUGGAAAGUUGGGGGUGAAAUCCCGGGGCUCAACCUCGGAACUGCCUCCAAAACUAUCAGUCUAGAGUUCGAGAGAGGUGAGUGGAAUUCCGAGUGUAGAGGUGAAAUUCGUAGAUAUUCGGAGGAACACCAGUGGCGAAGGCGGCUCACUGGCUCGAUACUGACGCUGAGGUGCGAAAGUGUGGGGAGCAAACAGGAUU
rnacentral:rRNA from 1 species